rnacentral:tRNA from 1 species
GCCCCCGUAGCUCAGUGGAUAGAGCGUUGCCCUCCGAAGGCAUGCGCGCGUGUUCGACUCACGCCGGGGGCACAA